rnacentral:ribozyme from 1 species
UGUUCGUCCUGGCGCAGACCUUUCCGUGGUCCUCGGGAUAAGUACUCUCUGGCUCAAGAAAGGCGUAUCAGCGCCCAAUACACGUCUUUCAAUUUGUUCCUUACUGUAUUGUGCCUUGAUACGUUGCCGGUAGGGGAAACUAGCAUGCGC